UGGCGUUUGACAAUAGCGGCACGUUGUUGGUCACGGCGGCGCUCGACGGCCAAACGUUCAACGUGUAUUCGUUGCGUGUGACGCACGUAGGUCCGACCGGUGUCGAGCAGGUCGCACCGCGGCAGUUGUAUCGACUUGUGCGCGGCUUCACGUCGGCCAUCAUUCAAUCAGUGUCGUUUAGCG
rnacentral:rRNA from 1 species